CGGCUGGUCGGAAACCAGCCAUAUAAGGAG
rfam:Sphingomonas laterariae strain LNB2 genome assembly, contig: Ga0138991_107